GCUGGCGGCGUGCCUAAUACAUGCAAGUCGAGCGAGUUUGCCUAGAUGAAUUUGGUGCUUGCACCAAAUGAAACUAGAUACAAGCGAGCGGCGGACGGGUGAGUAACACGUGGGUAACCUGCCCAAGAGACUGGGAUAACACCUGGAAACAGAUGCUAAUACCGGAUAACAACACUAGACGCAUGUCUAGAGUUUAAAAGAUGGUUCUGCUAUCACUCUUGGAUGGACCUGCGGUGCAUUAGCUAGUUGGUAAGGUAACGGCUUACCAAGGCAAUGAUGCAUAGCCGAGUUGAGAGACUGAUCGGCCACAUUGGGACUGAGACACGGCCCAAACUCCUACGGGAGGCAGCAGUAGGGAAUCUUCCACAAUGGACGCAAGUCUGAUGGAGCAACGCCGCGUGAGUGAAGAAGGGUUUCGGCUCGUAAAGCUCUGUUGGUAGUGAAGAAAGAUAGAGGUAGUAACUGGCCUUUAUUUGACGGUAAUUACUUAGAAAGUCACGGCUAACUACGUGCCAGCAGCCGCGGUAAUACGUAGGUGGCAAGCGUUGUCCGGAUUUAUUGGGCGUAAAGCGAGUGCAGGCGGUUCAAUAAGUCUGAUGUGAAAGCCUUCGGCUCAACCGGAGAAUUGCAUCAGAAACUGUUGAACUUGAGUGCAGAAGAGGAGAGUGGAACUCCAUGUGUAGCGGUGGAAUGCGUAGAUAUAUGGAAGACACCAGUGGCGAAG
rnacentral:rRNA from 1 species